rnacentral:rRNA from 1 species
GACGAACGCUGGCGGCGUGCCUAACACAUGCAAGUCGAACGAGGUCCAAGGGAGCUUGCUCCCUGACGACCUAGUGGCGAACGGGUGAGUAACACGUGAGAAACCUGCCUCGGAGUGGGGAAUAACUCGGGGACACUCGAGCUAAUACCGCAUACCUUCACAUGAUCGCAUGGUCGAGUGCAGAAAGAAUUUCGCUCUGGGAGGGUCUCGCGGCCUAUCAGCUUGUUGGUGGGGUAACGGCCUACCAAGGCAACGACGGGUAGCUGGUUUGAGAGAACGAUCAGCCACACUGGGACUGAGACACGGCCCAGACUCCUACGGUAGGCAGCAGUGGGGAAUCUUGCGCAAUGGGCGAAAGCCUGACGCAGCAACGCCGCGUGCGGGAUGACGGCCUUCGUGGUUGUAAACCGCUUUCAGCAGGGACGAAAUUGACGGUACCUGCAGAAGAAGCCCCGGCUAACUACGUGCCAGCCGCCGCCGUAAGAC